CCUACGGGCGGCAGCAGUGAGGAAUAUUGGUCAAUGGUCGGGAGACUGAACCAGCCAAGCCGCGUGAGGGAUGAAGGUACAGAGUAUCGUAAACCUCUUUUGUCAGGGAACAAAGGCGGGGACGUGUCCCCGGAUGAGUGUACCUGAAGAAACAGCAUCGGCAAACUCCGUGCCAGCAGCCGCGGUAUUACGGAGGAUGCGAGCGUUACCCGGUUUUAUGGGGUUUAAAGGGUGCGCAGGCGGUCGGUUAGGUCAGCGGGCAAGGCCCGGGGCCCACCCCCGGCCCGCCGUUGAAACUGGCAGUCUCGAGUUGGAGAGAGGUAUGCGGAAUGCGCGGUGUAGCGGUGAAAUGCAUAGAUAUCGGGCAGAACUCCGAGUGCGAAGGCAGCAUGCCGGCUCCACACUGACGCUGAGGCACGAAAGCGUGGGUAUCGAACAGGAUUAGAUACCCCAGUAGUC
rnacentral:rRNA from 1 species